UGCGCAGGUGGGAAUGUAAGUCAGUGGUGAAAUACUGCCGCUUAACGGUAGAAUUGCCAUUGAUACUGCAUUUCUUGAGUAUGGUUGAGGUAGGCGGAAUGUGUCGUGUAGCGGUGAAAUGCAUAGAUAUGACACAGAACGCCGAUUGCGAAGGCAGCUUACUAAGCCAUUACUGACACUGAGGCACGAAAGCGUGGGGAGCGAACAGGAUUAGAUACCUGGUAGUCC
rnacentral:rRNA from 1 species